UACGAAGGGUGCAAGCGUUACUCGGAAUUACUGGGCGUAAAGCGUGCGUAGGUGGUUCGUUAAGUCUGAUGUGAAAGCCCUGGGCUCAACCUGGGAACUGCAUUGGAUACUGGCGGACUAGAGUGCGGUAGAGGAUGGCGGAAUUCCCGGUGUAGCAGUGAAAUGCGUAGAGAUCGGGAGGAACAUCUGUGGCGAAGGCGGCCGUCUGGACCAGCACUGACACUGAGGCACGAAAGCGUGGGGAGCAAACAGG
rnacentral:rRNA from 1 species